rnacentral:rRNA from 1 species
AAUAUUGGACAAUGGGCGCAAGCCUGAUCCAGCCAUGCCGCGUGGGUGAUGAAGGCCCUAGGGUUGUAAAGCCCUUUCAGCGGGGAAGAUAAUGACGGUACCCGCAGAAGAAGCCCCGGCUAACUUCGUGCCAGCAGCCGCGGUAAUACGAAGGGGGCUAGCGUUGCUCGGAAUUACUGGGCGUAAAGCGCACGUAGGCGGCUUUCUAAGUCGGGGGUGAAAUCCUGGAGCUCAACUCCAGAACUGCCUUCGAUACUGGAAAGCUCGAGUCCGGGAGAGGUGAGUGGAAC